UACAGAGGUCUCAAGCGUUGUUCGGAUUCAUUGGGCGUAAAGGGUGCGUAGGCGGCGCGGUAAGUCGGGUGUGAAAUCUCGGAGCUUAACUCCGAAACUGCAUUCGAUACUGCCGUGCUUGAGGACUGGAGAGGAGACUGGAAUUUACGGUGUAGCGGUGAAAUGCGUAGAUAUCGUAAGGAAGACCAGUGGCGAAGGCGG
rnacentral:rRNA from 1 species